rnacentral:misc_RNA from 1 species
AAGCGAUGUAAAUAAUGGCAGGCCAUGAAAGUAUGAAGAGUAAAAAGGACCAAGAAAAUCGCAUGAAAAACGAAGACGGAGCCAGCAGGAUGGAAGAUAGCAACAAGGUAGAGGACCUGUCAGAAUCAAAAGAUGAACCGCCAGCUGAUGUGGUGCGCCUCUGCCAGGAAACUAUGAGUAAAACCGCAAUCUAUUUGAGGGGUGAACUUGAAGGGACUGCUGAGGAGUACAAACUUUUGGAGCAGAUGAAUCAAGUGACGAUCAAUAAAUAUUCUGAGAUGAAACAUAUUGCCAUGAAUAUCAGUCGUGCCAUGGUUGAACUGGAUGACAAAUAUCGCAGUCUACAACCAUACCUGGAUCAAAUAGACCAAAUAGAAGAGAGUGUUAGUAAUCUGGAGCAAGCAGCCUACCGACUGGAUGCCUAUUCCAAGAGAUUAGAAUCCAAGUUCAAAAUGCUCCAGAAACGAUGAAAUGGUGAUCUGUCGUGGUUGUAGGCACUAACAGUCUUUCUGCUUCUUUUUAAUUCUCCUCUUUUCAUUUAACCAAAACAACUCUGUGAUGUCUCCAUUUGAAUUUACUAACCUAUUCAGGCUUGGUUUACAGCCCUAAUUUGAUAUACUUCUGUUAUGGCUUCCUUUGUUUUAUCAGUCAAACAAUUUUACUCUAAAUUUAAUUCUACUCUCUUUUCAUGUCAUGAUAAUGACUGCUAAUAGAGGUGUGUGUGUGUGUGUGUGUCUGUGUGUGUGU